rnacentral:rRNA from 1 species
AGAGUUUGAUCCUGGCUCAGGACGAACGCUGGCGGCGUGCUUAACACAUGCAAGUCGAGCGGAAAGGCCCUUCGGGGUACUCGAGCGGCGAACGGGUGAGUAACACGUGAGUAACCUGCCCUAGGCUUUGGGAUAACCCUCGGAAACGGGGGCUAAUACCGAAUAUUCAUGCUGGACGGCAUCGUUUGGUGUGGAAAGUUUUUCGGCCUGGGAUGGGCUCGCGGCCUAUCAGCUUGUUGGUGGGGUGAUGGCCUACCAAGGCGACGACGGGUAGCCGGCCUGAGAGGGCGACCGGCCACACUGGGACUGAGACACGGCCCAGACUCCUACGGGAGGCAGCAGUGGGAAUAUUGCACAAUGGGCGGAAGCCUGAUGCAGCGACGCCGCGUGAGGGAUGAAGGCCUUCGGGUUGUAAACCUCUUUCGACAGGGACGAAGCGCAAGUGACGGUACCUGGAGAAGAAGCGCCGGCCAACUACGUGCCAGCAGCCGCGGUAAGACGUAGGGCGCGAGCGUUGUCCGGAUUUAUUGGGCGUAAAGAGCUCGUGGGCGGCUUGUUGCGUCAGCUGUGAAAACCCGCAGCUCAACUGUGGGCUUGCAGCUGAUACGGGCAGGCUUGAGUUCGGUAGGGGAGACUGGAAUUCCUGGUGUAGCGGUGAAAUGCGCAGAUAUCAGGAGGAACACCGGUGGCGAAGGCGGGUCUCUGGGCCGAUACUGACGCUGAGGAGCGAAAGCGUGGGGAGCGAACAGGAUUAGAUACCCUGGUAGUCCACGCUGUAAACGUUGGGCGCUAGGUGUGGGGGGCCUCUCCGGUUCUCUGUGCCGCAGCUAACGCAUUAAGCGCCCCGCCUGGGGAGUACGGCCGCAAGGCUAAAACUCAAAGGAAUUGACGG